AUGGAUCUGUUCGCCACCGGUGUAUCUGUCCCGCACCGUCAGCUUCUCCAGGUCGCCGAUGAUGUGGUCGGUUGCGCCACUAUCCAGGUACCAGUUGGAGUCUACCCCGUACUGUGGGGUCACCAUGUUGGCAAACUUCUCUUCUUCUCCCUGGUACGACUCAUCGUAGCGCUUCCAGCACUUCCAGGCUGGGUGGCCUGGCUUGCCACAGAUCUGGCACACCACCUUGGGGGCAGGAGCAGAGUUGUUGUAGUUGCCCCUGCCGCCUCCACCGCGACCGUUUUGCUUGGUGUAGGGACGGCCGCGAUCACCACCAGAGUUGCCGCCACCUUGUCUGCCGCGGCCGCGGUCACCACCGCCGCGACCACGCCCGCGUGUCGCCGCGUUCGCCGAGGACUAGGAUCCUCCGUGACGAAGAUUCAUCCGUGUCUCAAAGCUAACGAGCUGUGA
rnacentral:rRNA from 1 species